CCUACGGGAGGCUGCAGUGAGGGAUAUUGGUCAAUGGGGGAAACCCUGAACCAGCAACGCCGCGUGAGGGAAGACGGUUGUCGGAUUGUAAACCUCUGUCCUCGGUGAAGAGAAUGACGGUAGCAGAGGAGGAAGCUCCGGCGAACUACGUGCCAGCAGCCGCGGUAAUACGUAGGGAGCAAGCGUUGGCCGGAUUUACUGGGUGUAAAGGGUGCGUAGGCGGCCCUGCAAGUCAGAAGUGAAAUCCAUGGGCUUAACCCGUGAACUGCUUUUGAAACUGUAGGGCUUGAGUGAAGUAGAGGCCGGCGGCCUUCCCGGUGUCGCGGUGACAUGCGU
rnacentral:rRNA from 1 species